rnacentral:rRNA from 1 species
CUUAACACAUGCAAGUCGAACGAUGAAGCCCUUCGGGGUGGAUUAGUGGCGAACGGGUGAGUAACACGUGGGCAAUCUGCCCUGCACUCUGGGACAAGCCCUGGAAACGGGGUCUAAUACCGGAUACUGAUCGCCUUGGGCAUCCUUGGUGAUCGAAAGCUCCGGCGGUGCAGGAUGAGCCCGCGGCCUAUCAGCUUGUUGGUGAGGUAAUGGCUCACCAAGGCGACGACGGGUAGCCGGCCUGAGAGGGCGACCGGCCACACUGGGACUGAGACACGGCCCAGACUCCUACGGGAGGCAGCAGUGGGGAAUAUUGCACAAUGGGCGAAAGCCUGAUGCAGCGACGCCGCGUGAGGGAUGACGGCCUUCGGGUUGUAAACC